rnacentral:lncRNA from 1 species
UGGAGACAGGCUGAUGAGCAACUGCAGCUUUUAGCAUUUUCUCAUUGCGAGCAGGUACACUUUCGUAGCCGCUUAUGGUUACAGCAUUGUUUUUAGCUUUGGACUUGUUACAGUUACCGUCUCUUCCUUUAUAAGGAUAUUCUUUAGCAGUGGCUAUCCCUCCAUGUUUUUUGAUGUAGUUGAAUGCUAUGUACAUGUCGCCACCUUCGCAGCCUUCAUUCCCACUUUUAAUAUCACAAUCUAUCAACUGUUGUUCCGAUAGAGAAACUAAAUUUUCUGUUUUGAUCUUGUUGAUGCCUUCUACAGCUGCCACUGCUGAGAAUGCCCAACAACUUCCUGCAUCAAGUUUGACACCAUCAUAUCAGCACAAAACAUAAAUUUCAAAAAUGUUUAAGCGUGCUCUUUAGCUCGCUACUUAGCAAUAGAUAAACUUCAGAAGACUUCAAAUACAUUUACUUGUUAGGUAGUAAUUCCUCAAGGUAAGUAACUAUUUUCUUUAUAGAUAUAACUAUAUUCUUUAUAGAUAUAACUAUAAGACUAAUUUAUCCUGUCAUGUUCAUAUCACAAACACUUCAGAUAAAGUUCGUAUAGACUUAUCGUUUAGUUGUGCAUGGAACUACUAGAUGUGUGUAUAUUAUAUCAUAGCAUACUAGUAACUA